rnacentral:rRNA from 1 species
UAAGUCCCAGUUCGGAUUGAAGGCUGAAAUUCGCCUUCAUGAAGCCGGAAUUGCUAGUAAUGGCAGGUCAGCAUACUGCCGUGAAUACGUUCCCGGGCCUUGUACACACCGCCCGUCACACCAUGAGAGUUGGGAAUACCCGAAGCCUGUGAGCUAACUUUUAGAGGCAGCAGUCGAAGGUAGAAUCAAUGAUUGGGGUGAAGUCGUAACAAGGUAAC